AUCAUAACGUUAUACUAUUACUAUUGGGUUGUCCGGAAUGUUCGUUCCGAUUUACAUUUCGAUUCAAUAUACAUUCAUUGAAUUAUAUAGAUGGCAUUUUGUUCCACAACCUUUCUUGGCAACUUUCUGGCAACUCUUUGGAACUUUCUGGGCAAUCAAAUAGUUUACAAUAUGAGACUUGAAGCUAAGACAAAGACGAAUUAGGACUAAAUAUUAUCAAUAAUUAAAGAUUAUAAUCAAAUCUAAUCGAAGAAUAUAAUCAACUAUAUAUAAAUCAAUACUAAUAUAAAUAUAUCAAUAACUAAGGCUAAAUACUAUCAAAGACAUACAAACUAUAGUAAACACACAUAUACUUAUUAUGUUAGUCUACAUAUAUAGUAAUUGCCAUAUACAGUUGUAUAAUAUGUAUUUAUGCGCAGAGCAUACAUAAUUCUAUUGAGUACAUUGCUUGUCGCCUGUGGUUUAGGUCAAUCAUCAAUAAAGGUUGGUAUUCUUCCUAUAAUUGUCGCAAUAACCAAUGUCUGAAGUCGAACAGAAUAGUUGUUCAGUUCGUGAAGUAUUCUUUUGUCUUGUAGUUUUCGAUUGUGAUGGUAAAUUAGAAGCAUAUUUUCUGAAUCUUGAAUCAGACCUUGCGCCUCUAAAUGUACGAAUUUUUCGGUCGAGGUGUAUCCAGUUUAUUUUGUAAUUUCGAAGUAUUAAGGGUAGGUGGAACUAAACAUUAAGCUGUUAUCUUCGAUGUCUCUUACUUUGGUCCGGUGGUUUCUAAUUAUUUUCAGUAUGAGGAGAUCAAUUCUUAUGAUAUUAGCUUUGUCGUGUAGAUCGCCUUUGUUAACAUAUUUUGUAUCAACCUUUGCCCGUGAUUUCAUUUACGUGGGCCUUUGUGAGUUUGAUGGAUAUUUAUUAUAUUUGUUUUUUGCCAUCUGUAGACAAGGCCACCAUCUCACGCAAUAUCUGAUACUACGUCCAGGUCAAUUAGUACUGCCCGAAGCAUUGAUUUAUAUUGUUUGCCCAAUAAAUGUCAAAUGUAAACUGUGUUGUGCUUGAAACUGUGCCGAGUUUCGAGGAUUAUGUUGUGCUUAUGGUAAUAAACAAAUAGCACGAUCAUCCGAUAAGAUCAUCUUCUUGCAGAGGAUUCAUGGGGAGAGAUUUGCAGUUUUCCAUGUUCUAGGAAAGUAUUUCAGAUUUAAACAGUUGUUGAAUGAUACUGUGUAGUGGUUUGUUAAUGUUAACUACAGCUGGCACAUAGUGCCAUUUCAAAUGCGAUUUCCGCAACUGUGACUCCCUCUUGACGAGAGAACUCAUAGAUACUCAACAUACUGACUCAACUGUUUCACAUUUUUCGCAAGUGAAUGUGGCUGAUCUGUAACGUGCAGAUACAUACAUACAUCCACACACAUACGUGUACACAUAUACGCGUACAUACAUUCGAUGGAUACGAAAGUACAAUGGAGACGAAACUGCUAAUGUGGUAAGUUCAUAGGGCAUGAAGUAAGAGGCCAAGUGAUGACUGGAGGGUCAUUAACACAGCUAUCUUUUCGUUCGAAGGAGCAAACAGCUGCGAGAAUUUGAUGAUAGAAAUAAUUUUAUGGCGCACAUUUCCGUAAUUAAAAGGCUAUUUCUAAGUCAACGCUUUUAAUUUUCCAUGUUUAUCGUGUUCUCAAUAGUUGAGUCAUAAUAGUCCCAAUAGUUAUAUUGACUUGUCAAUCCUAAUCGAAGUUCGUUCGGGUAUCACUAGAACUUGUACAGAACCUGUAUAUUCUUUUUUUUUUUUUUAUUUAUUUAUUUACAUUUUACAAUUUGUCCAGUAGGACAUUUGGUAAAAUAUUAUAGCUUAGUGGUAUAAUAAUAUAACAUGUGGAUGACUACCCCUAGUGGGAUACCAUCUUCGAAUUUGAUUGAUUUAUUUCUUUAGUGUGGUGAGUGUUUUUUGUUAGGUUAUGUCCUUUGUGAGAUCUGUUGGGCGUUUCCUUUUCGAUCUUCUUUUUAUUUGUAUAUUCUUGGUAGCAUUACUCGCACUUUUCUCGCCAAAGAUCAGGGUAGUAAACAAUGUGUAACGCACGAACAUUCUGAUCAGGCACUUUCGUUUUGAGACUUGCUAGACAUCGAAUUCAGCAAUGUCAUUCUCGUGCGAGCUUUUUAGAGCUCCAAGCAGUCGUAGCAGUAGAGUAAAUUAGUCUCUCGGUAGUCAGAGAGAACAGUCUCGAAUCGCUAACGUCAUGAAGCAGUUUCCGAAGAGCUUGAUAUCGUAGAUUAAUUUACUCAGUCGGUAACGUUAGACGAAGCAACGGAUCCUCAAGACAUACUAAAUGUAUUAAGUUUAAUGCAGAAUAUAUUAAUGAUGAAGGUAGAGAUGAGGAAUUAGGUAAAUAAAUAUUAAAUUCAGAUGUUAGGGGCAAAAGGGAAAGAAAACACGAUAGUAGAUAAUACAGAGACAAACUUAACUGCGCAUAGGAGAACGAUAUAUUUAACAUUCAUGAUUUUGAAUUUUGAUUUUGAAUAAUGUGCAGACAAAUUAAUGAAAAACUAUAACCUGGACAAUAAAGUGAACUCUGUCAGGCGCUUUUAGAUUGUCGUGUAGAAAUGAGAACAUAAAAAUUCUUUAGAUUUUUGUCUGGUCGGUUUUGUGCGAUCAAUAAAAUGUAUGUCACGUCAUUUGAGAAAAUUUCUCACAAUUCGUAUCAUACAAUAUGCCGUUCAGAUACAAAUAAAUUCCGUAAUGUAGCAAAGUUUCUUUGCUCACUUACUAUUUACUGAUUCUGUAUCGUGGUAAGUAUUAUCUCGUAUGAAAUUAAUCCGAUAAAUUCCAACAGGAUAUUCAUCAAAAUUUUAUUUCAGGAACUUACCGAAUACGUGCGAGUAUCUGAACUUUAAUCAAAGUGUGAAAUACAUUACGUUAAAGCAUACAUUUGAAGGUUUGUUAUCGCAAUAAAUCCGUUUGUUUCAGUGGUCUCGCAGAUGAUCUAAGGAUGCAUUUGAAUAAAGUAGAAUUUGUACAACAAAGAUAAGUAAUAAAUAUUUUUACCUUUUAUUAAUUUAUAUUGUUAGUAUAUUUAUCGCACCACACAUCCGUACAUUAUUCAAUGUCUUUCGGAUAUGUAAUGUACAUAGUAUAGUCCUACAAUCCUAUAUUGCAACAAGUACAUAAAAUAUAAUGCAAUACAAAAAACAGAACAAUAUACUAUAAUAUAUAGGUAAUAUUCGGAUAACCGUAUAGCCAUGCUUCUUGUGUUUGGUUGGCUCUUCCUCCCCAAUUUUCCGUGCUGUGGCUCCUUACUUAUUCUUUCCAGAAAAUUUUCUUCUCAUAUAUUCGAUGAUUUAUAUACAACAACUUGUAGGGAUGUAUAUUUGUAAAUAUCAUUGAAAUAUGGAUUUUAGGGGAAGAAGAUUAUCGUAAGGAGUUAUGAGAUUAUUGCAUGAAGGAUGUAAACAUACAUAUAGUUGACUUGUAAUUUGAUAUAUGAUGCAUACGCAUAUAUACAUAUACACGAUUUUCGCGUGUUUCUUCAUAUUCUGCUAAUAUGGAAUAAAUCAUUGGGAGUAGGAUAAGAAAGACAAGAGACGGGCUAACAUUGUUUAUUACUUUUUGUAUUCAAGGUAUCUCGAAUGAAUUAUUACAAGCAAUAAUAUAAUCAAAGGUAAUGAAUAAAAAGCGAUGAAACUAAACAAUCAGACGUUACACCUCACUCGUUAUUGGUCACAAUUAUCUCAUUCUCGAAUGAUUGAUUUUAUUUCGCAUUUUUACUGUUCUUCUCUCACGCGCUCUCUCUCUCUCUCUCUCUCUCUCUCUCUCUCUCUCUCCAUUUAAUAAUUUGUACUUCUCUAUUGGCGCAAUCCCUUGCCUCUCUAUAGUCUCUAAGAAACCGGUUGAUUGCUUCACCAACGUCGACAGAUUUGCGAGGUUUUACUAUACGUUAUCUUUACGACGAUAAUAAUGUCGAUGAAACGAUGCGACUCGAUUUUGUAUUUAUUACCAGUCUUCGGCAUCUCUCAAAACGCGUAUUCUAUCGCACGAAAAAUAUAAAAAGAAAAAGGAAGAAAAAAAGAAAUAGGAAAUAUUAAAUAAAACGAAAAAUACAGUAAAAGAUCAUGGACAAUGAUUACUUAGGAAUAAAAGAUACAAAUUCUAUUUCGUUGAUUGAGAAAGGAAAUUUCUCGCUUAGAAUCUAAAGAGAAACUCCUUUAGAAUCUAGAAUGUAGUAGAAAAUUAACGGAAGAAAUCGGAGUGAAAAAGCAUUCGAAAGUUUGAGGCGGCUAUUUUCCUGUUGAGAUCAUUUUUUCUUGUCUCGUUCAUAGUACGCGUGAUUCCAUUUGUAUGCACGCGUGCAUACGCAUCUGAACAAGAACAGGGGGUGGUUAAGUCCGGAAAACUAAAUUGAGUCACAUCGUUACGAAGAUCAUUACGUUUAACGACGACAAAUUAGUCGUCGUUUACAUCAACGCGUUCGAUUCAAUAAAAUCUGGUUGAUUAACAGUAAAAUGAACGUGUUUUAGUCGUAAUAAUUCUUUUUCUUUUUUUUAGUCCAUAAUUACAUACCGUCGUUCUAAAUGGAUGGUUAUUCUGGGAAUAUACAAAGUACGUAGAAAAAGAAGGGAAAGUAAAACGUUUCCGUUUUUACCUAUGAAUUAAAAUGCUCCACCUUUGUAAAUAUGUGAACGUAUCUCGCGUAAUAGCUAGAAUUACGUACUGGCGGUUUUAAAGCGAGUCCUCUCGGGGAAGCGGCAAAUUUCUAUGCGUGGGCAUAACCAGUGCAGUCAUUUGAGGGAAUUCCUGACGAAGGUUCACGAGGUUCGUACUUCUCACACUCUGCAUAUAUCCUUCUUCCGACUUUUAUUUCUUCAUUCAAAUAAAAUUAAUUUUUCAGAAGUCGUUCUUACAGUAUCGACUCCCUAAUUUUUAAAACAUUUUUAUUCAAAUAUAAGUUUAAAAAUUCAAAGUGAAAUUACGUUUUCAUACAUAAAAUUUUAAAUCUUGCAGCUUCAUUAAAAGAAGACGAUCAGUAAACAGAUUUUAAAGAUUAUUUGAAUACCAGAAUGGAGAAGAAUGUGUGAACAGUCGACAGUGUGAAAGUGUUGAGAGACAAAAGUCAAGCCUUGUAUCUUCGCGUGAAAAAUAUUUCGGCAAAAUACACACAGUAAUUUCUUGGACACGGCUUAAAACCGCCGGUAGAAUCGAUGGAUACCGCCGGGUUAAUAUUCCUUUACUUUUAAUCAUAAUGUAUCGUUACAAUGUUCGUAUAACAAUAAAGCAAUAUGCAAAUAGUA